CCGGGGCGUGACACUUUAAAAAUACUGAAUCAGUUAUAGAAGUCCCUUUUCUUUGUGUGCCUUUAUAUUUAGAGGGUCUCUGUUUACAGUCUCCCCUUUUUUUCAAUAAUGGAUGAUAUUCAAAUAAAGCAUGAUGAAUUUCUCCUCCUGUGUGGAUUGUAUGUAGACAGCGAAAAAGCGUAGAAAUUCAACAGUAUGUCAUGGAGGAGCUUUAAAGUAAAGCACAUGACAGCCAAACAAUCUAUUCAAAAUGCAGGAAGUAUGGAAAGAAAGUUACUGUUUAAGUUUUUCGCAACGUGCGUGGUUUCACUUUGUCACCUGCAGUUUGAAGGGCAUUUCGAGCUUUGACGAAGGCAAAAACAUGAGGAGGAGCAUGCCACGGGAGAGUAGAAACAAUCUAAGUAAUCUAGUGAUGUGUGAUCAUGGUAUACCACCACUCUUGUUAGCUGUGUUAGAAGCUUGGAAGCUGCAGCAGGGAAGGGUUGGAGAGACCAAUUUGAAGGUGUCCUUGCAGUCUCACUUCAGUAAAUAACUGAGUGGUAUUCUAGUAAACUGAAGUGAGAGAGGUAUUGGCAGCUACUUAAACAAGUUUCAAGAUGGUUGUGCAAUCCGAACUCAAGGGGGGAAGUUAGAACUAAACCUGGAAAAGCAGCUGGGAUAACUACAUUGAGCUGCGGAUAGGAGCAGUUAUAGGCUGUUUUGGGGUGCUUACAUCCAAGGGAAGGAGAGGUUCAGCUCUGAUCUGAACCCAGGUGAGAUCCUCGCUGAAUUGGAGUGUCUUAGUGAUGAUAUUAACGCUGUUUUUGGUAAUGUUCGCAGCAGAUUUGCAAAGGAUUAUUAGAUUGUCCUCGGCUAAUAUUUUGAAGCUUUCGGAAGUUAAAUUGAGUACACUAACCUGGACCAAAACAGGGAUUCAACUAUAGCAUAAUACUAGCAGGUUUGGUAAUCACUUGGAGUUGAUUAUUGAGACCCAGUGGAGCUGAAUUGGGUGAUCUUAAGCAGCCCCAUCUUGAAGUGGAGCAGAGGUUUAGUUUAAACUAAACCUAGCUAGGGGAGUUGGAGGCCUCAGAUUUCCUGCAAGAGAGUGUGUUUGUCAGGGACCAUCGAUUAGUAGCUAACUCCUGCACUUUUUCUUGGGCUUCUACAACUCUCAAUUUUAUUAUAUCUAUGGUCACUCCUGCUGUAUUUUUAUUUGUUUGUUACUUAAAAUUU